AUUGGGCUCGCCUUCAUAUUAGGCACGGCCCUAAACCGCCCCCACAACAAACACACACACACACACAGAGGCUGUGAAAAGAAGACAGAGAGAGGCUGCAAAGCAGAGUUGUCUUUUUCUGCUUGCCUGUUUUAUUGUGUGGAGUAUUGUCACUGCAGGAUAAAGAGCUGAAUAUUUAUUCAAAUUUUCUGUAAGUAUACAAUUUAGUUUAGUUAUGAAUGAAACAUUUUUAAUGUGUAUUGAUGUUUCCCCUUUUGAUGGUUAUUUUUGGGUUGCUGUUGAACUGAAAUAAGAGAAUUUGGUAACUGAUUGAGCUGCAUACAGGUAUAUGUUGAGUAAAUUAGUGGUUAAAGUAUAUUGAAAGCAGGUGCUUCAACACAGGUGUGAUUCCUGAGCAAUUAGCACCCUAUCAUGCUUACGGUCAAGUAUACAAAGUUGGCUUUAUGUUGUCUGCUAUGCUUUCAAACAGUGACAAUGCCCCUGAGAUUUAGAUGGCAGGAGCCACUCAAAGCUUUGAUGUCAGUUAUCUGUGUCUAGGGAACUCCCUAGCAAGAAAUUUAGUAAUAUUUUAUGUGAGAAUGAAAACAUUUUAAAAUGUCUAAUUCUUGACUUGGGUUUACACACUUUCUUACAUAGAGUUUAAGGGUAAACAUUUUAAGAUGUUUUCACUCUCAUAACAUUUCUUGUGAACUAUGUUCUUGUGAAUUUCUGGCAAACUGUUAGUCAUUAUUGUGUAUGUCCGUGCAUGUAAAGUAUAUAAUCCCUAAUAAUCAGAUUUCUUUAUUUUACCACAGAGAGAAGUAAGUUAUUGCACAACCCAUUUCUGCUGGUACCUCUGUGUCCUCACCAAGCCCUGCUUCAGACAGACUGUUUCAGCGCUUGCUUACAGAGUCCAGUUCUUCAGCCUCGGCUCCAUCUGUGUCGUCCUCCCAUCUGGCUAGGUGUCCAGUAUCCAGCGUUCUGUCCCUGCUGCCCCCCCCCGUAGACCCAGCCCUACAGCUGCCACUGCCCGCCCGGACUCCGUACAGUCCCAGUCCGGCUUCACCAUGGUUUGGUGUGAGGACAUGGAGUGUGGGGUUUGCUACCAACCCUACUCCCGUGAGGAGCGGGUCCCCCGAGUUCUGCACUGCAGACACACCUUCUGCGCCACCUGCUUAGAGACCAUUUCCCUGCCGAAGAGUGGCCUGCUCACCGUGCGUUGCCCACUCUGCCGACAGACCACUUGUAUAGGUCGCGGCCUUACGCUCCACGAAGCGUUGUGGGUCAAUUCGCGCCUCUGGGACAACAUUUCUGAAAGUGAAGAAGAGCAGGACCAGGUGAUAGAGGUGAUGGAUGAGGAGGAGGAGGAGGAAGAAGAAGAAGAGGGGAUGGAGGCUAAUGUACCGACACACGCUGCCUCACAAGCCAAAGGCCCUACUCCAAAGCCCACAAGACCAAAACUUAAACUACCAGCCUUCUUCAGGAAAUUCAUUCUGUCAAAACCACAGCACCAAGAGCGGAUUGUGCCUGUCUGUACCAAUGUGGAGAUGAAAUCCUGGCGCAGGCUUUCAGCUGCUGAGACCUUUUAGUAGGUCAGCCACAUAUUGAUGGACUAUUCAGGAUGCGCAGUCAGCUGCUUCAGCCAACGCGCAGUCAACUGCUUCAAGUCAACUUUUCUGCUCUUCUGCCAGCCUCUUAUGGAAUUGCUAUGCCCUCAUUCUUUACUGUCAUGUCACAGACACUGAAGAUGGGGCUGACUGGAGCACCAGCAGAUCAGAAGAGUUCCUCUGGGAUUGCAGCAAUUGUCUCUUUCAACAAGGUGUACAUUACCAGCUGACCCAACUGUCAACCCUGUCAGGAGAGUUUAGAGACGGUGUUCCAAAUGGCACUCCUGUGGUUAAAAGUAGUGGACUACAUAGGGAAUAGGAUCUGAUUUGGGAGACCCUCAGAGAGAAAUCUAGAAUCUAUCCAUGUGUCUGACUGACAAGACAGGCUUCAUUGUUGAAGCACUGACAUCUCCACAGUUUCUCCCGUCUCCCUCCCCAUUAGUUAUUCUGGCUGUAAUUUUUCACAGCUGGUGCAUUGGGAUUUUGGAUUUGGUUCAGCUGUCCCUUUAUAGGACAGACAGCCUAGUGGAAGCCAGGGUAACCCCCCCCCCUUUACUUAACAGAUGCCCCCCCC
ensembl:lncRNA